rnacentral:rRNA from 1 species
UACGGAGGGUGCGAGCGUUAAUCGGAAUUACUGGGCGUAAGGCGCACGCAGGCGGUUUGUUAAGCUAGAUGUGAAAGCCCCGGGCUCAACCUGUGAUGGUCAUUUAGAACUGGCAGACUAGAGUCUUGGAGAGGGGAGUGGAAUUCCAGGUGUAGCGGUGAAAUGCGUAGAUAUCUGGAGGAACAUCAGUGGCGAAGGCGACUCCCUGGCCAAAGACUGACGCUCAUGUGCGAAAGUGUGGGUAGCGAACAGG